AUGAAGAAAAAAAGAAGAAAAAAAAAAGCAUCAGUUUCACCCUCCAUCCAAGUGAGCACGAGUUCUUUGUUGUUGUUGCAGUUAUUAUUUUAUUGUUAUGCUGUUGUUGUC
rnacentral:ribozyme from 1 species